UCUCCAAUUUUUAGAGAGGGUGGAUAGCCUACCCUUAGAGGGCAUAGGGAUACACAGACGGGCUCAAAAGAAAAAUACCUCCAGAGGCCUUAACCUUCUCCUUGAUAAUCCUCCAUAGUCGAUCACCACAUCAAGACACUUCAGUCUUCUUUACCCUCUCAUUAGCAGAUGAGUCAUCUCGGUUAUUAUCAUUUUUCAUAUAUUGUGAACCACUCUCUGUUGGCUGAUAGUCAAAGUAGAGAUUUUCUUUUUCAAUUCAAGCAUUUGUGAUUACUCUAACAAGUUUGGACGUCGAGGCACUGACUUGAAGUUGUCCAGGCGCGCACCUCAAGUCAAAAGGGAGAAGCUCAGGUUUGCGAAUAAGUAAUUUGUCGCGGGUUCAUUCGAUCUCUUUUGUUUAUUGUUAUCUUGAUUAUUGUAUCAUGUAUCUGUUAGUUAAUAUUUUGGGAGCCUCAUUUAUCUGACUUUUAUUGUUUAAGUAAUUGACCUAGUUUUUUGUACACGUUUAUGCAUAAAUCUAUAGUAGCCACAUUGUUUGAUCCAUUGUUAUGAUCUUCUUUGUCUGCGUAAAUCUAAGAUUUUAACCAGUUUGUCAUUUUAUGAUUUAAAGUUGUUUACUUGUUCUUAACCUUAUACAAACAUUUAAGAAGUUGUGCACUUUUCCUUGUAAACCAUUAUAUCAUUCUAAGGCCUAAUGUUAAGACGCAUUUUGUAGUAUAAUGAGGUAAUACGCUUGUUAAAAGGGGCUAUUAUCAAAGAUUUGUCUUCUUCGUAACAAUUAAAGUUUUUGUGGUAGAUCUUCUUCGGGCCCUAGUUCUUAAUAACACGUAGUAUAUACUAAUUAAACUUAGUUAAUGUUUGUCUUAAGAGUUUUUCCUUGUACAAAUGUUACUAUUUUGUUUAUUAUAAAUCCCCUUAUAUGAUGACAUAUACCAUGCUUUUCGCAGCUUGAAACUAUAACUUUUUUUUAAUCACGUUCAAUGGCAAAAUUUGGUUUUUAAUAGUCAAUAUAUUUUUAUAAUCCUUCUUUGGUUCCUUGUAUGUCUGUUUUCAUCCUAAAGUUUUGAGGGAUCUGUGAAGAGAAGCACCACUGCUAAGUCUUUCUCUCGUAUAUGUUUGUCAAGGCUCUUCUCUAAUAUACUUUAGUUUGAAGUUCUAAUUCAUUCCUUAUCCCAUGUAUAUGUACAUCGGUAUUUAACGUGUGUGAGCCCUCCCCAAGUUAAUUAAUAUUUUGAGGGAGGCUAAGGACUUUGUGGUCAAGGCUUAUAAAAUACAAGAGUUUAACUCUAUACCUUUUAAUUGUGACUAAGCCGGUCUUUUUUUUUAAUUUCCUCGCUAUUAAAUUAAGUCUUUGUUCAUUAUGAGAUAUUUUUACAUUAUGUGAACUUCUUAUGAUAUUUGCUAAACGAUGGCAUGCUACUUGAUUAAUUAAGUAUUUUUCUUUAUUGUGUGCUAUCUUAUUUUUGACCGGCAAGUCAACACUACGUGCUUUGCUUGCGUGUGUAUAAAUAUUGACCUCACAUUAAAGUCGCCACAAAGGUUAAUGGCGUGUGAUCAACAAUUAUCACAGUGCCACGCCUCUAUGGUGGCGCACAUUUUUUUACUAACUAUCGUUUUCCCUUGUUUUAGCCGCGAUUGCCGUGAAAAUCCGCCGAAUCAAUUUUGUUACGGAGAAGAAGAAGAUGUUUUCUUCUUUGACGAACUCAAGACCUGCAAAUAUACAAUAGAGCAAAACAUGAGAAGGAGAGCAAAACGUGAGCAAGCUGACUACUAUUUUUGCUUUCUGCCCAUCUUUAAUUUCCUAGACGUCAUGGAGAGUUCCGAGUCGUUUGACACCGAGUUGAUGCUUUAGAGCGAAUUUGACACCGGAAAAAGAGCUUUGAGACAAGGAUCUGAGGCAAGUGCAUCUGGCGAUCUCACCGGCGCGCAUCCCCAUUACCCGGAGGCGUAGUGGUGAGCUGCUUCCUGAGCCG